AUUGAACGCUGGCGGCAGGCCUAACACAUGCAAGUCGAACGAGUGGCGGACGGGUGAGUAAUGUCUGGGAAACUGCCCGAUGGAGGGGGAUAACUAAUGGAAACGGUAGCUAAUCCCGCAUACCAUCGGAUGUUCCCAGAUGGGAUUAGCUAGUAGGUGGGGUAACGGCUCACCUAGGCGACGAUACCUAGCUGGUCUGAGAGGAUGACCAGCCACACUGGAACUUAGCCACGGUCCAGACUCCUACGGGAGGCAUCAGUGGGGAAUAUUGCACAAUGGGCGCAAGCCUGAUGCAGCCAUGCCGCGUGUAGGAAGAAGGCCUUCGGGUUGUAAAGUACUUUCAGCGAGGAGGCGUUACUCGCAGAAGAAGCACCGGCUAACUCCGUGCCAGCAGCCGCGGUAAUUC
rnacentral:rRNA from 1 species